UUUCCGUAGGUGAACCUGCGGAAGGAUCAUUAUCGAAGCCCCUAACCGGGCAUUGCCGCGACUGUGCGCGUUUUCUUGCGCUGCACGUCGCACAUCCUUCUUACACACCCGUGCACUCUUUGCGGGCGUCCUUGGACGUUCGUCUAUUACACACUUCUUUUGUUAUGGAUGUACACUUUCGAAAAGUUUAUAUAACUUUCAACAACGGAUCUCUUGGCUCUCGCAUCGAUGAAGAACGCAGC
rnacentral:misc_RNA from 1 species